rnacentral:rRNA from 1 species
GCCAGACUCCUACGGGAGGCAGCAGCGGGGAAUAUUGCACAAUGGGGGAAACCCUGAUGCAGCGACGCCGCGUGAGUGAAGAAGUAUUUCGGUAUGUAAAGCUCUCUCAGCAGGGAAGAAGUAGCGACCUUUGGGCCGCCAGACGGUACCUGACUAAGAAGCCCCGGCUAACUACGUGCCAGCAGCCGCGGUAAUACGUAGGGGGCAAGCGUUAUCCGGAUUUACUGGGUGUAAAGGGAGCGUAGACGGCAGCACAAGUCUGAAGUGAAAUGCCGGGGCUUAACCCCGGAACUGCUUUGGAAACUGUGCAGCUAGAGUGCAGGAGAGGUAAGUGGAAUUCCUAGUGUAGCGGUGAAAUGCGUAGAUAUUAGGAGGAACACCAGUGGCGAAGGCGGCUUACCGGACUGUAACUGACGUUGAGGCUCGAAAGCAUGGGGAGCAAACAGGAUUAGAUACCCUGGUAC